rnacentral:rRNA from 1 species
GGUCAAGUGAAGAAGCGCAUACGGUGGAUGCCUUGGCAGUCAGAGGCGAUGAAAGACGUGGUAGCCUGCGAAAAGCUUCGGGGAGUCGGCAAACAGACUGUGAUCCGGAGAUGUCUGAAUGGGGGAACCCAGCCAUCACAAGAUGGUUAUCUUACACUGAAUACAUAGGUGUAAGAGGCGAACCAGGGGAACUGAAACAUCUAAGUACCCUGAGGAAAAGAAAUCAACCGAGAUUCCCUUAGUAGUGGCGAGCGAACGGGGACCAGCCCUUAAGUUGUAUUGAGAUUAGCGGAACGCUCUGGAAAGUGCGGCCAUAGUGGGUGAUAGCCCUGUACGCGAAAAUCCCUUUGCAAUGAAAUCGAGUAGGACGGGGCACGAGAAACCUUGUCUGAAUAUGGGGGGACCAUCCUCCAAGGCUAAAUACUACUGACUGACCGAUAGUGAACCAGUACCGUGAGGGAAAGGCGAAAAGAACCGCGGAGAGCGGAGUGAAAUAGAUCCUGAAACCGUAUGCGUACAAGCAGUGGGAGCCCACUUUGUUGGGUGACUGCGUACCUUUUGUAUAAUGGGUCAGCGACUUAUUUUCAGUGGCGAGCUUAACCGAAUAGGGGAGGCGUAGCGAAAGCGAGUCUUAAUAGGGCGUCUAGUCGCUGGGAAUAGACCCGAAACCGGGCGAUCUAUCCAUGGGCAGGUUGAAGGUUGGGUAACACUAACUGGAGGACCGAACCGACUACCGUUGAAAAGUUAGCGGAUGACCUGUGGAUCGGAGUGAAAGGCUAAUCAAGCUCGGAGAUAGCUGGUUCUCCUCGAAAGCUAUUUAGGUAGCGCCUCAUGUAUCACUGUAGGGGGUAGAGCACUGUUUCGGCUAGGGGGUCAUCCCGACUUACCAAACCGAUGCAAACUCCGAAUACCUACAAGUGCCGAGCAUGGGAGACACACGGCGGGUGCUAACGUCCGUCGUGAAAAGGGAAACAACCCAGACCGUCAGCUAAGGUCCCAAAGUCAUGGUUAAGUGGGAAACGAUGUGGGAAGGCUUAGACAGCUAGGAGGUUGGCUUAGAAGCAGCCACCCUUUAAAGAAAGCGUAAUAGCUCACUAGUCGAGUCGGCCUGCGCGGAAGAUGUAACGGGGCUCAAACCAUGCACCGAAGCUACGGGUAUCACCUUUGGUGAUGCGGUAGAGGAGCGUUCUGUAAGCCUGUGAAGGUGAGUUGAGAAGCUUGCUGGAGGUAUCAGAAGUGCGAAUGCUGACAUGAGUAACGACAAUGGGUGUGAAAAACACCCACGCCGAAAGACCAAGGUUUCCUGCGCAACGUUAAUCGACGCAGGGUUAGUCGGUCCCUAAGGCGAGGCUGAAAAGCGUAGUCGAUGGAAAACAGGUUAAUAUUCCUGUACUUCUGGUUAUUGCGAUGGAGGGACGGAGAAGGCUAGGCCAGCCUGGCGUUGGUAGUCCAGGUUUAAGGUGGUAGGCUGAGAUCUUAGGUAAAUCCGGGAUCUUAAGGCCGAGAGCUGAUGACGAGUGUUCUUUUAGAACAUGAAGUGGUUGAUGCCAUGCUUCCAAGAAAAGCUUCUAAGCUUCAGGUAACCAGGAACCGUACCCCAAACCGACACAGGUGGUUGGGUAGAGAAUACCAAGGCGCUUGAGAGAACUCGGGUGAAGGAACUAGGCAAAAUGGCACCGUAACUUCGGGAGAAGGUGCGCCGGUGAGGGUGAAGCAUUUACUGCGUAAGCCCACGCCGGUCGAAGAUACCAGGCCGCUGCGACUGUUUAUUAAAAACACAGCACUCUGCAAACACGAAAGUGGACGUAUAGGGUGUGACGCCUGCCCGGUGCCGGAAGGUUAAUUGAUGGGGUUAGCGCAAGCAAAGCUCUUGAUCGAAGCCCCGGUAAACGGCGGCCGUAACUAUAACGGUCCUAAGGUAGCGAAAUUCCUUGUCGGGUAAGUUCCGACCUGCACGAAUGGCGUAACGAUGGCGGCGCUGUCUCCACCCGAGACUCAGUGAAAUUGAAAUCGCUGUGAAGAUGCAGUGUAUCCGCGGCUAGACGGAAAGACCCCGUGAACCUUUACUAUAGCUUUGCACUGGACUUUGAAUUUGCUUGUGUAGGAUAGGUGGGAGGCUUUGAAGCGUGGACGCCAGUCUGCGUGGAGCCAACCUUGAAAUACCACCCUGGCAACUUUGAGGUUCUAACUCAGGUCCGUUAUCCGGAUCGAGGACAGUGUAUGGUGGGUAGUUUGACUGGGGCGGUCUCCUCCUAAAGAGUAACGGAGGAGUACGAAGGUGCGCUCAGACCGGUCGGAAAUCGGUCGUAGAGUAUAAAGGCAAAAGCGCGCUUGACUGCGAGACAGACACGUCGAGCAGGUACGAAAGUAGGUCUUAGUGAUCCGGUGGUUCUGUAUGGAAGGGCCAUCGCUCAACGGAUAAAAGGUACUCCGGGGAUAACAGGCUGAUACCGCCCAAGAGUUCAUAUCGACGGCGGUGUUUGGCACCUCGAUGUCGGCUCAUCACAUCCUGGGGCUGAAGCCGGUCCCAAGGGUAUGGCUGUUCGCCAUUUAAAGUGGUACGCGAGCUGGGUUUAGAACGUCGUGAGACAGUUCGGUCCCUAUCUGCCGUGGACGUUUGAGAUUUGAGAGGGGCUGCUCCUAGUACGAGAGGACCGGAGUGGACGAACCUCUGGUGUUCCGGUUGUCACGCCAGUGGCAUUGCCGGGUAGCUAUGUUCGGAAAAGAUAACCGCUGAAAGCAUCUAAGCGGGAAACUUGCCUCAAGAUGAGAUCUCACUGGAACCUUGAGUUCCCUGAAGGGCCGUCGAAGACUACGACGUUGAUAGGUUGGGUGUGUAAGCGCUGUGAGGCGUUGAGCUAACCAAUACUAAUUGCCCGUGAGGCUUGACCAU